UCCAAGGAUCCGUUAUAAUGCAGCACCCCGAUGCAAAAAAAUACUCAUUAUCUGACAUUUGAUACUUUUUUAUAUAUUUAUUUUUACAUUCCUGUAAAACCAAAUGCCAUGCCCCAUUCGUCAUGGUCAUCCCCUCGCAACUCAGUCCGUUUCUAAGACUUGAGCAAUUGUGAAAUUGCAAACGAAAGCAGGAGUAUUCAAAAGGUCAAGGCAGUUCUUACUCUGGAUGUAUGACCUCGUUUCCUCUCCUCGGUUUCAUGGAGCCUUGGAACACAACCACCAUUUUACCCGGCUUCAAUAACCUUAUGAAGAUCCCUCGAAGGAGAAAGUCAUUAUGUAUGUACGAGUGAAGGAGUUCGUUUCAAGCUCACAUGGCUCGCAAUCAGUUAGUCAAUCAGAUCCUUUCAACCGAGACAUGUGUACAAGGGAGCUUCGGUGACCUUUAAAGAUCGAUCCUCGGGACCGAUAAUAAGACCAACCGACCACCAACUGAAGAGAUGGCCGCCAUUCAUAACCACAGAUGCUGAGUCAAUGCCGUCGUCAAGGUUCCAAUCUUGUCUGUUCCAAUGUCUGAAUUUCACCACCAUCUUUCUUCUGGAACUGGUGGACUUCAUCUGGUUGGUCAUGGAGCCUUAUUUCAAGUGGUUGCCACUUCUCGGCCUUUUGUAUGUACUGGUUCCAUACUACAACCAAUUUGCUGAAGAUGAAGAUUGUGAAGAAGGGGAUGAAAACUGCGAGGAGGAAUUCGAUCCAGAUCCGUUUGAUUGGGAUCGAAAAUGACUAAAAGUUUUCUCACCUCAGGUCUGUCAAUGCUGGGACUUGAGGUGGCAUUAACCAUCUCAGCCCGGAUGAGAUUGGUCCAAGUGGUGCUGUCAGUCAAACCACGAAGGAGAAGGGGGAAUGCCAUCUCAUCAGCCACAUGAUAUCUGAAAAUGAGAAUGAGAAGCAUUCAAAUGCCGACAUUUCCGCAUGCUCUUGGUUUUGAUUUCAGCUCAAUGUUUCUAGUUGUUUUCGCCAUGAAUGUACUUGCCCGCAGAUGGCACUGUGGUUAAGUGGGUCUAUAUCAAAUCACACGAUGAGCAUGACACUUACUUGGUGAAUAAAUUAGCCAUGAGGUACAGCUUAUCCUUGAAUUUGGAGGGAACAUAGUAGAUGGGUAAGUCAUCGUAGAACAAUCGGAAAUUAGCACCCUCGUUCGAUUCCAAGACUUGAAAAAAAUCCGCAACUGAAAGCAACAAUUAUUCCUCGAUUAAGACCAAUGGGUUGCGCAUUGCACCAUCUCACACAAGAAAACGCAACUAGUGCAAUAAUAUCUUGUUCCUUUUAACUGAUCCAAAUCUACCCCCAUUUAUCACUGAUAGUUACACUUGAUUGCUAUUGGAAGUUUUCACAGCGCGACAAAUAGCUCGUCUAACUUGUAUUGAAUAAAGGUUCUUAUCAUACACCACCCUAAACGACUAAUGAACACGCCAUGUUUUGGUUCUACUUGACCGCAAGCUGGCAUUGUCCCAUUGAGUUCCCUAUCUUCAAAGAGUUCGACCUUGAGAGUUCCUAAGUGAAAAACAACCUCGCCAUUGAUCGAUUGUUUCGUGGGAAGCUAUAGCCUUUACCUAAGUGACAGAUUUCGGAGUUGGUGGCCACGUCACAUUGGAAUUGUUCCAAGUCCUUCUUCAGCAUUCCGCCGUCUUCAUCAGAGGUCAAAGCCACGUUUCGUUUUCCGCUCUUGACGAGACUUUGCCAGAAGUUGAGCUUCUCGCUGAUGCUCUUGUAGACCUUGUGGAUGUCAAACAUCAUGUCGUUGAAGUGAUCGAUGGUUUCAUUCUUAGAGGGUGAGGCCGGCUCGACGGAUUCGGUUGUGUCUUCCUGCUCAUCCUAUGUAAUUGACAAAGUACUCUGUUCUUGAAAUAUAUUAAUACAUUAUUUUCUUUUA